rnacentral:rRNA from 1 species
UGGCGGACGGGUGAGUAACGCGUGGGUAACCUGCCUCAUACAGGGGGAUAACAGUUGGAAACGGCUGCUAAUACCGCAUAAGCGCACAGUACCGCAUGGUACCGUGUGAAAAACUCCGGUGGUAUGAGAUGGACUCGCGUCCAAUUAGCUAGUUGGUGAGGUAACGGCCCACCAAGGCGACGAUUGGUAGCCGGACUGAGAGGUUGAACGGCCACAUUGGGACUGAGACACGGCCCAA